rnacentral:rRNA from 1 species
UACAGAGGUCCCAAGCGUUGUUCGGAUUCAUUGGGCGUAAAGGGUGCGUAGGCGGCGCGGUAAGUCGGGUGUGAAAUCUCGGAGCUUAACUCCGAAACUGCAUUCGAUACUGCCGUGCUUGAGGACUGGAGAGGAGACUGGAAUUUACGGUGUAGCGGUGAAAUGCGUAGAUAUCGUAAGGAAGACCAGUGGCGAAGGCGGGUCUCUGGACAGUUCCUGACGCUGAGGCGCGAAAGCCAGGGGAGCAAACAGG